GGUAGCCAACUUUUCCAGGCUCUGGAGGGCAGGGGCAGCGCUCGGCAGGGCGACGAGCCGGGACAGCGCCGGAGCCGCGCUGCGAGCCGAGGGCCAGGAGCCCCCGCCUGCCGGGGCGCCGCGCUCCUCCUCUGCCCGCGGCCCUGCCCCGCGUCCCGCCCCGCGCCCCCCUUCUCCUCGCCGAAGGGGCCGCGGCACCGGGGGCCGGGCCGGGCCGGGCCGUGUCUGUUGGGGGCGGCGAGGGGCCGAGGCGGCGGGGCGGGCAGGAGCGGGCACCGGCGCGGCUCCGCUCGGCUCCUCUCCGGCUCCCGCCGGGCCCGUCGGCGCCGGCCGGCCCCGGCGCGGCAGGGCACGAUGGCGCCCGGGCUGGGGCCGUGGCUCCUGGCCUUGUGGCUGGCCGCGGGGCCGGCAGGUGCCCUUUCUCAGGUGCAGACAGAGGCCUCCGGCCCCACUGUGUGGGAUGUCUCCGAGUCUGUCACGCUUACCUGCCACAUCUCUGGUGCACCCAUCAG